rnacentral:rRNA from 1 species
UGGGGAAUAUUGCACAAUGGGCGCAAGCCUGAUGCAGCCAUGCCGCGUGUGUGAAGAAGGCCUUCGGGUUGUAAAGCACUUUCAGCGAGGAGGAAGGUGGUGAGCUUAAUACGCUCAUCAAUUGACGUUACUCGCAGAAGAAGCACCGGCUAACUCCGUGCCAGCAGCCGCGGUAAUACGGAGGGUGCAAGCGUUAAUCGGAAUUACUGGGCGUAAAGCGCACGCAGGCGGUUUGUUAAGUCAGAUGUGAAAUCCCCCGGGCUCAACCCGGGAACUGCAUUUGAAACUGGCAAGCUAGAGUCUCGUAGAGGGGGGUAGAAUUCCAGGUGUAGCGGUGAAAUGCGUAGAGAUCUGGAGGAAUACCGGUGGCGAAGGCGGCCCCCCUGGACGAAGACUGACGCUCAGGUGCGAAAGCGUGGGGCAGCAAACAGGAUUAGAUACCCUGGUAGUCCACGCUGUAAACGAUGUCGAUUUGGAGGCUGUGCCCUUGAGGCGUGGCUUCCGGAGCUAACGCGUUAAAUCGACCGCCUGGGGAGUACGGCCGCAAGGUUAAAACUCAAAUGAAUUGACGGGGUCAUAGCUGUUUCCUG